AGCGUACACGGUGGAUGCCCUGGCAGUCAGAGGCGAUGAAGGACGUGCUAAUCUGCGAUAAGCGUCGGUAAGGUGAUAUGAACCGUUAUAACCGGCGAUUUCCGAAUGGGGAAACCCAGUGUGAUUCGUCACACUAUCAUUAACUGAAUCCAUAGGUUAAUGAGGCGAACCGGGGGAACUGAAACAUCUAAGUACCCCGAGGAAAAGAAAUCAACCGAGAUUCCCCCAGUAGCGGCGAGCGAACGGGGAGCAGCCCAGAGCCUGAAUCAGUGUGUGUGUUAGUGGAAGCGUCUGGAAAGGCGUGCGAUACAGGGUGACAGCCCCGUACACAAAAAUGCACAUAUUGUGAGCUCGAUGAGUAGGGCGGGACACGUGGUAUCCUGUCUGAAUAUGGGGGGACCAUCCUCCAAGGCUAAAUACUCCUGACUGACCGAUAGUGAACCAGUACCGUGAGGGAAAGGCGAAAAGAACCCCGGCGAGGGGAGUGAAAAAGAACCUGAAACCGUGUACGUACAAGCAGUGGGAGCACGCUUAGGCGUGUGACUGCGUACCUUUUGUAUAAUGGGUCAGCGACUUAUAUUCUGUAGCAAGGUUAACCGAAUAGGGGAGCCGAAGGGAAACCGAGUCUUAACUGGGCGUUAAGUUGCAGGGUAUAGACCCGAAACCCGGUGAUCUAGCCAUGGGCAGGUUGAAGGUUGGGUAACACUAACUGGAGGACCGAACCGACUAAUGUUGAAAAAUUAGCGGAUGACUUGUGGCUGGGGGUGAAAGGCCAAUCAAACCGGGAGAUAGCUGGUUCUCCCCGAAAGCUAUUUAGGUAGCGCCUCGUGAAUUCAUCUCCGGGGGUAGAGCACUGUUUCGGCAAGGGGGUCAUCCCGACUUACCAACCCGAUGCAAACUGCGAAUACCGGAGAAUGUUAUCACGGGAGACACACGGCGGGUGCUAACGUCCGUCGUGAAGAGGGAAACAACCCAGACCGCCAGCUAAGGUCCCAAAGUCAUGGUUAAGUGGGAAACGAUGUGGGAAGGCCCAGACAGCCAGGAUGUUGGCUUAGAAGCAGCCAUCAUUUAAAGAAAGCGUAAUAGCUCACUGGUCGAGUCGGCCUGCGCGGAAGAUGUAACGGGGCUAAACCAUGCACCGAAGCUGCGGCAGCGACGCUGAUGCGUUGUUGGGUAGGGGAGCGUUCUGUAAGCCUGCGAAGGUGUGCUGUGAGGCAUGCUGGAGGUAUCAGAAGUGCGAAUGCUGACAUAAGUAACGAUAAAGCGGGUGAAAAGCCCGCUCGCCGGAAGACCAAGGGUUCCUGUCCAACGUUAAUCGGGGCAGGGUGAGUCGACCCCUAAGGCGAGGCCGAAAGGCGUAGUCGAUGGGAAACAGGUUAAUAUUCCUGUACUUGGUGUUACUGCGAAGGGGGGACGGAGAAGGCUAUGUUGGCCGGGCGACGGUUGUCCCGGUUUAAGCGUGUAGGCUGGUUUUCCAGGCAAAUCCGGAAAAUCAAGGCUGAGGCGUGAUGACGAGGCACUACGGUGCUGAAGCAACAAAUGCCCUGCUUCCAGGAAAAGCCUCUAAGCAUCAGGUAACAUCAAAUCGUACCCCAAACCGACACAGGUGGUCAGGUAGAGAAUACCAAGGCGCUUGAGAGAACUCGGGUGAAGGAACUAGGCAAAAUGGUGCCGUAACUUCGGGAGAAGGCACGCUGAUAUGUAGGUGAAGUCCCUCGCGGAUGGAGCUGAAAUCAGUCGAAGAUACCAGCUGGCUGCAACUGUUUAUUAAAAACACAGCACUGUGCAAACACGAAAGUGGACGUAUACGGUGUGACGCCUGCCCGGUGCCGGAAGGUUAAUUGAUGGGGUCAGCGCAAGCGAAGCUCUUGAUCGAAGCCCCGGUAAACGGCGGCCGUAACUAUAACGGUCCUAAGGUAGCGAAAUUCCUUGUCGGGUAAGUUCCGACCUGCACGAAUGGCGUAAUGAUGGCCAGGCUGUCUCCACCCGAGACUCAGUGAAAUUGAACUCGCUGUGAAGAUGCAGUGUACCCGCGGCAAGACGGAAAGACCCCGUGAACCUUUACUAUAGCUUGACACUGAACAUUGAGCCUUGAUGUGUAGGAUAGGUGGGAGGCUUUGAAGUGUGGACGCCAGUCUGCAUGGAGCCGACCUUGAAAUACCACCCUUUAAUGUUUGAUGUUCUAACGUUGACCCGUAAUCCGGGUUGCGGACAGUGUCUGGUGGGUAGUUUGACUGGGGCGGUCUCCUCCUAAAGAGUAACGGAGGAGCACGAAGGUUGGCUAAUCCUGGUCGGACAUCAGGAGGUUAGUGCAAUGGCAUAAGCCAGCUUGACUGCGAGCGUGACGGCGCGAGCAGGUGCGAAAGCAGGUCAUAGUGAUCCGGUGGUUCUGAAUGGAAGGGCCAUCGCUCAACGGAUAAAAGGUACUCCGGGGAUAACAGGCUGAUACCGCCCAAGAGUUCAUAUCGACGGCGGUGUUUGGCACCUCGAUGUCGGCUCAUCACAUCCUGGGGCUGAAGUAGGUCCCAAGGGUAUGGCUGUUCGCCAUUUAAAGUGGUACGCGAGCUGGGUUUAGAACGUCGUGAGACAGUUCGGUCCCUAUCUGCCGUGGGCGCUGGAGAACUGAGGGGGGCUGCUCCUAGUACGAGAGGACCGGAGUGGACGCAUCACUGGUGUUCGGGUUGUCAUGCCAAUGGCACUGCCCGGUAGCUAAAUGCGGAAGAGAUAAGUGCUGAAAGCAUCUAAGCACGAAACUUGCCCCGAGAUGAGUUCUCCCUGACUCCUUGA
rnacentral:rRNA from 1 species